CACCGCGGUUAUACGAGAGGCUCGAGUUGACUACCCAUCGGCGUAAAGAGUGGUUAAAUUUAUUCAUGCCUAAAGCCGAACCCACUCAAAGCUGUUAUACGUGCUCGAGUGGAAGAAGUUCUUACACGAAAGUGGCUUUAAUAGCAUUGACUCCACGAAAGCUGGGAAA
rnacentral:rRNA from 1 species